rfam:Enterococcus haemoperoxidus ATCC BAA-382 genomic scaffold acvJN-supercont1.3, whole genome shotgun sequence.
UUAGCUACUUUAGAUAGUUUUGUAUUCAUGCAAUCGUGGGUACAAACAGCAAAAACCUGUUUUUGUAUCUAUGAUGGCUAGAGCGCUUUGUAUUGAACAAACAGCCACCUAGACAUUCCUAAGUGGCGAAUAAAGAAGUGUUUACCUACGACUUUUAUCAAUCCAUUUAGGCAUAUUGUCUAAAUGGAUUUUUUGUUUUAUCAA